rnacentral:misc_RNA from 1 species
GCUAUACCAAUAGGGGUGUUACAAGGGCUACAACUAUCCUGAAGAGGUCAGAGACAGAAUCGGACGGGAAGUGGCUGAAAAUUGAUUGUAAAAGAAGAAUAAAGAAUCUGUCUUUUUUAUUUUUAAAAAUUUUCGAAGUUCAGUUCUUAUCUUUCGAUUAUGUUUUUGAGUAUAAACAUCAUCUUUGGAAGCAGCUGGGUACACAUCUUCAUUCUUCAUUCACAUUCACAGUUUUAGAUUUCUUCAUUAUUUUUCUUUAUUUUUCUAUAAGCCAUGAACAUGAG